ACUCAGUGGGAAAUGGCAGAUGUGUUAUUUAAAUAUAUAAUGUAUAUGUGACAGUAGAACUGUAUGACCACUACAGGUUUAGCACUUGCCCAUAAAUAUGCAGUAAUAAUCUUACUGUUCAGAAUUAAGUUCUGUAUAUAUUUAUAAAAUUGUUAAGUAAUGUAUAGACUUUUACUGAUAUUCAUUAUUCCUAUUAACACAGGAAGCGACUAACAGCCAAAGAAUGUUUUAACCAUCCUUGGCUAGCACAGACUGAAGCAGACAUGAAUAAAGUAGUCCUGUCAACAGACAAACUUAAGAAAUUCAUAAUAAGGCGGAAGUGGCAGAAAACUGGGAAUGCUAUCCGUGCCCUGGGACGAAUGGCCAACCUCACCAAUCGUCGCAGUUCACAACCCUCCUCACCAACCCGCCUUUCGCCACUCCCAGAGAACCAUCCCCACACACCCCAUCCUCAUCUUCCCAGUCUCCAAUUUCCACUCCAACCACCCUCUCAAAGACCAAAGGGUGUGCUCCUGUGACUCGCCCCUCAUCCAGUAUAGUCAGCGAGAGAAGCGAUUCUGGUAUCAGUGAAUGCUCUUUUAAUAUUGAGGAAAAUAACCAGAAUGUAGGUAACAAUCAAUUUGGUAUAACAAAUGGUCGUGCUGUUACAGGGCGCAAUGUUCUCAAAAGUGGAAAGACACCUUCUUUAGACUGGCAAUCUUCUGUGGACUCUGCUGUCUGUGAUGACGACUACAUAAGCAAGAACAGCUUUGGAUCUUCCCCAAGAAAAAUAUCCAGGGAGGCACUAAUCCAUGCUAAGUCUGCUGUUGCUGACACUCGCAUGAAUGCACAUUCGAGAAUAUGAGUUAAGCAGUGUAUAGAAAAAAUAUAUUAGUGAAAUAAUUUGUACUUUAAGAAUUUGUACAUAUGCAAAUCAGGACUGUUUAGAAUUAGUCGUUCUCUUGCUUGCUGGCCUCGCAGUACAGGAUCUCUUCUGUGAAUGUAAUUUGCCUAUCUAAUCCAUGUCCUCGUAUAUGGAGCUGAUUAGACGUGUGUAAGACGAGGUCAUGAAUAUUUAAGUCUCGUGAUAAUGACCUUUGAGCAAUGUCUCUCAAAGGGACAUGAGAUAGAGGAUUUUGUAUAAUCGACCAGCCACAAUAAACCUGAAAAAGCUGAUGUCUAAAUUGUAGUGGAAAAAAAAAUGCUGUCACAAGUAGGUCAUUGGAAGCAUGUAAGAAGUGUUUAAUAUUGUUGUGACAGUCUGGUUUACAAGAGUGUGCCUGAAAUUUCUCUUAGCUAAACCUUGCUGUCACUAGUGUUGGUUUAAAGUUGCAGCAAAUCCUAUAAA